rnacentral:sRNA from 1 species
ACCUGGUCCAGAACAGACCCCACAAGGUUGAACCCGGUGGAGAAACGGGAAAGCGUGGGGGAGAAGUGGGAUCAGGUGGUGCUAACUCUUUCAAGUUGGCUGCAUCACUUCUCUCUUAGGUGGUUGAUAGCACUUAGCGGACAUGCGCUCGCGGCGUUGCUUGGAAACCUUGUUUAACCAGGUCUUGCGCUUUAAGGGUUUAUAGUGUUUAAUCUUGUGCAUUGUUACUGACGGUAUUUGUAAGUGCGUUGUCGCGUAUUAGCAGCCCGUUUG